rnacentral:rRNA from 1 species
AUUGAACGCUGGCGGAAUGCUUUACACAUGCAAGUCGAACGGCAGCACGGGGCAACCUGGUGGCGAGUGGCGAACGGGUGAGUAAUACAUCGGAACGUGCCCAAUCGUGGGGGAUAACGUAGCGAAAGUUACGCUAAUACCGCAUACGAUCUACGGAUGAAAGCGGGGGAUCGCAAGACCUCGCGCGAAUGGAGCGGCCGAUGUCAGAUUAGGUAGUUGGUGGGGUAAAGGCUCACCAAGCCAACGAUCUGUAGCUGGUCUGAGAGGACGACCAGCCACACUGGAACUGAGACACGGUCCAGACUCCUACGGGAGGCAGCAGUGGGGAAUUUUGGACAAUGGGCGCAAGCCUGAUCCAGCCAUGCCGCGUGAGUGAAGAAGGCCUUCGGGUUGUUAAAGGACUCUUUCUAGCCGGAAAGAAAACGACGAACAGGUUAAUAACCUAGUGCGGA